rnacentral:lncRNA from 1 species
AUGGCCUGGCCCCACUGCCCCCCUCCCCGGCUGCCCCCUCACCAUGUCGGCCAGGGCCACGUAGAGGAAGGUGCCGGCGGUGCCGGUGAGGAUCCAUGGGGUGAGGUGCGCCGCGCUCUGCCCCACGGCCGCCCCCGCCGCCGCCCCCAGGCAGGAGAGCAGAGCCGAGAGCAGGUUGAGGAGCAGGAGGGUGCGUGGUGCCAUCCCUGCCCGCAGCAGCACCGCCAGGUCGCCUGCGGCACGAGGAGGGUGGGUGGCAGGGCUGGGGAGCCGGGGAGGGGGUGCUGGGGGCCGGGGGGCAGGCACUUACCCAGCUCGUGGGGCAGCUCGUGGCAGAGCACGGCCAGCGCCGUGCUGAGGCCGCUGGAGAGGCUGUGGGAGAAGGAAGCACCUGCGGGAAGAGAGCACGUCCCCACGUGUCCUGUGUCCCUGUGCACCCCGUCACCAUGCACCCCUGUCCCUAUGUACCCCAUGUCCCUGUGCCCCCCCUGUCCUCCUUUUCCUGUGCAUCCCUGGCCCCAUGCACCCAUCUCCAUGCACCCCUGUCCCUGUGCACCCCAUGUCCCCGUGCACCCGUCCCCAAGCAUCUGUCCCCAUGCACCCCAUGUCCCUAUGCACCCUGUCCCUGUGCACCCAUCCCCGUGCACCCCAUGUCCCUGUGUACCCCAUGUCCUCCUGUCCCUGUGCACCCCAUAUCCCUGUGUACCCCCAUCCCUGUGCAGCCCCAUGUCCCCGUGCACCUGUCCCCACGCAUCCCUGUCCCCAUGCAUCCGUCCCCAUGCACCCCAUCCCCGUGCACCCCAUGUCCUCAUUUUCCUGUGCACCCCUGUCCCCGUGCACCCAAUGUCCCUAUGCAUCCCUGCCUCUCCUGUGCCAGUGUACCCCAUGUCCCCAUGCACCUUUGUCCUUGUACACUGCUUUUGUCUCUGUGCAGUGCUUUCCCCAUGCACCCCAUGCCCCUGUGCACCUCUGUCCCUGUGCACCUCAUCUCCAUGCACCCCUGUCCCUGUGCACCCCAUGUCCCCAUCCCCACGCAUCCCUGUCCCCAUGCAUCCGUCCCCAUGCACCCCAUGUCCCUGUGCAUCCCUGUCCCUGUGCACCCAUCCCCGUGCACCCCAUGUCCCUGUGCACCCUGUCACCGUGCAUCCCUGUCCCUGUGUAUCCCCGUCCCUGUGCACCCCAUGUCCCCAUCCCCAUGCAUCCCUGUCCCCAUGCAUCCGUCCCCAUGCACCCCCAUCCCCGUGCACCCACGCCCUGGUGCUCCAGCAGCCCCAUUUAUCCCCGUGCCGCUCACCGAUGGCCAGCCCAUCCGUCAGGUUGUGGAUGCCGUCCCCCAGCACCACCAUCCACACCAGGUCAGUGGCCCUGGGGCUGGGGGGCAGCGCGGGGCCGUGGGAGUGUCCGUGGGAGUGUCCGUGGGGGGGGCCGUGGGGUUUGGGCUCCAGCUCGGGGUCGGGGGCCGUGAGGCAUCGCAGCUCAGCCCCUGCGGUGGGAGAAGCACGGGGUGGGUGCGGGGACCGGGUCCCUGGGUGCUGCAGAGGGUGA